rnacentral:rRNA from 1 species
UACUUUGGUGGCGACCGGCGCACGGGUGCGUAACGCGUAUGCAACCUACCUUUAACAGGGGCAUAACACUGAGAAAUUGGUACUAAUUCCCCAUAACAUUCGAGAAGGCAUCUUCUUGGGUUAAAAACUCCGGUGGUUAAAGAUGGGCAUGCGUUGUAUUAGCUAGUUGGUGAGGUAACGGCUCACCAAGGCAACGAUACAUAGGGGGACUGAGAGGUUAACCCCCACAUUGGUACUGAGACACGGACCAA